GCUCCGAUAGCUCAGCGGUAGAGCGCUUCCUUGGUAAGGAAGAGGUCCCGGGUUCAAUCCCCGGUCGGAGCU
rnacentral:tRNA from 1 species